GAUGAACGCUGGCGGCGUGCCUAAUACAUGCAAGUCGAGCGAAUGGAUUAAGAGCUUGCUCUUAUGAAGUUAGCGGCGGACGGGUGAGUAACACGUGGGUAACCUGCCCAUAAGACUGGGAUAACUCCGGGAAACCGGGGCUAAUACCGGAUAACAUUUUGAACCGCAUGGUUCGAAAGUGAAAGGCGGCUUCGGCUGUCACUUAUGGAUGGACCCGCGUCGCAUUAGCUAGUUGGUGAGGUACCGGCUCACCAAGGGAACGAUGCGUAGCCGACCUGAGAGGGUGAUCGGCCACACUGGGACUGAGACACGGCCCAGACUCCUACGGGAGGCAGCAGUAGGGAAUCUUCCGCAAUGGACGAAAGUCUGACGGAGCAACGCCGCGUGAGUGAUGAAGGCUUUCGGGUCGUAAAACUCUGUUGUUAGGGAAGAACAAGUGCUAGUUGAAUAAGCUGGCACCUUGACGGUACCUAACCAGAAAGCCACGGCUAACUACGUGCCAGCCGCCGCCGUAA
rnacentral:rRNA from 1 species